ACAGAGUAAAAGCAAGUUUCUGCAGGAAGCCUGAUCACUGAACACGCGCUGAACGCCGCACACCAAGGCUGGCAGAUGAAAUGAGGCACAAAGCUUGAAAGUAAAACAACAGAAUGGGAAACCUUCUUGAAAGGUGGAGAACAACUGGAAAAGGUUUAAAUGGCGCUUUGUUUUGUACCUCCAAGAAAUAGAUGCCAGCAAAGGAAAAGAAAACCCUCCUGAAAAAAUAGGACGCAGCUGGGGUCUGGGACAUGAAAGUUGGAGGCAGACUUGAAACCAAGGAGCCAUUUCAAAUCUUUUUCUUAAGAGAGCGACCGCACGUGGGAAUACGUUCUUGUUGAGACCGAGGCCUUUCAACCACAUGUACCCCAGCAACGGCAGCUUUUUCUCCCAGCAGAGUUAUGAAUGGGUCUUCUCCAGCGCAGACAGACUGUUCUCCAAAUCGAGGUGGGGGUGUGGCAACACUCCUCACCACUGGAAGAACGGAAAGGAGGGGACAAGCAGUGAUCCUUUAUUCUCUUGGCAAACACAGGGGUUUGCCGAGACAGAGCACCCGUUUGUGAGAAAUUACACUUGCCUGAUGAGAACAGCCCUUGUUUGCUCUCGCAGGGGCACCCUGAACUGUCCAGAGGAAAACGUAAAACCUGUAGUCAAAGACCUGAAAUGGCCACAGCUGCAACCAUGCCAGGACCAGACAACAGCCGAGACGGCACGGAAACACAGCUCCUGAGUGAGGUGAGAUGGACGGCAGCCAGGGCUGCACAUCAGGCCAGCGGCAGAGCCAGAAGCAGAACCAUGUCUCCAGGCUGACAGUACCAGGACCCUAUUAACAUUAAUGGCUAAUUAGUGUUUACAUUUUUGAAGCAAAGUAUGAACACAUAUCUGCACCAGCCAAUGCCAGCCAUGAUGGGAGAGCGAUGCUAUCCAAAAGCAAUUUCCUUUCCUUUCAGAUGGGCAUCUCUAGUAGGUAGCAUCGUAAAGCAGAAUCUGAAUCGCCAGCUCUCAUGCUGCAAAAGUACAAAGCACAGUAGCAGUGUUGUGUCACCAGCUACAGAGUAGCACCAGUGACUAUUCAGACUGACAAGGAAGGCUCAAUAAUAGUAGUUUUAAAAAAAAACAAAAACAAAAAAAUCAACCCUUCUAGGAUUCUGCAGCAGUCGUAUAUGAUUUCAAUUAUGGAAAUAUAAACUGCCUUGAUAGCCACAUGGAUAAACUGUUUGAAGAAGCAAAUUAUUCAUACCAGAAUUAAUUGUUCUUUGGAACACCAGAAAACUCUGAACAGCUGUAAAAAAUGUUCACAAUGAAAUCUGAGUCUAGUUGAGGUUAAUCUAGGUUUAAGUUUUUUGCAGAAAUUAAGAUGGAGUUCAGAUGAGCCAGAAGCCCAUGAAAUCAGCUUGUUUCUCAUGCCCAUAUCUUGCUUGCAAAAGCAAUGCAGAGGCUCUGGCUGUCAGCACCUUCUCCCCUCCCGUACCCCCACAGAACAAUUCAAAACAACAAAAAAUCCCUCCUAGCCUAUUCACCCCAAGGCCUAGGACUUGCCUCUUUUUACCAGUGUAUCUUCUGGAUAUUGGCUAGCAAAACAUCUCAUUAAUUCUGGGCCAAGUUCUUUCACUCCAGAGAUCAUGUAGAUAAACAGUUGGAGGAAAAAGACACACAUCUGAGGAUUUUCUCAAUUACUCAAAAAAAAAAAAUUUACUGGGGGGAAAAAAAAAAAUCUACAAACAUUCUUCUAUCAUUGGUAUUUCCAAAGUUUUUCUCGUAACAGGUGUUAGUACCGCAAACUGUUCAAGGUUUCUUGCUGGAUGGAUAUGAUACGGAUAUGAUAGACAGAAAAAAAAAAAAAAAGUAGUCUUUUCCCUAGGCCAUUCCUGGAAGGAGACAUUAGAGACCACGGGCUGAGAGCAAGUUUCUUGCAUAGCAGAGUUGAAGCCAGAAGACUUUUUUGGAGUGGGGGGUUGCAUGAUCAUCUAUUCCUGUCUAGCCAGGUACCGCUCUGAAAAUCGAAUAUAAACAUUGAUUUUGCAACUCUAGCCAAUAAACUGAGUCCCUCUGGGCUGGUGUAAAAUUAC
ensembl:lncRNA